GGGAACCACUGCAUCCCCUGGGAGUGGUGACAAUCAAUCAGUCAACCAAUGGGAUUGACAUCAGACCAUUCUGCAUGGUCAUUAUCUAGGUUGUCUCCGCUACCCAGAGGCAUUUUCACACGAAACCUGUGUGGGGAGGUAAUGUUUUGAAGUGCACCCCAAAGAGCAAGAUCUUUCUAAGUAGAACUUGGAUUCUGAAGGCUCUUCUGGCGGCCGGGUGUUAUGGGCUUUGAGGGCUUGGCCUGGGAGUCAAUUAUUAGUCAUUUCCCUGUUAUCUUCUGCAAUCAGGAUGUCACUCGUUCUCUCUGUUGUCAUGUAUUUUCCAGAAUCUUGCUUUGGAAACCUAGGAUCUUGCUUCAGGAGUCUGAGGGCAAUUUUGUUCUUUACCACCUUGGCUGGAAUAAUCCCAUGGUGGCCACACAACAGGGUGCACCCUGCCAAUGAGCCAGAUGAAGCAACCCUCGAUGAUGUUGUGGAGGCCGGCGGGGAGAGAAGACGGAGGAAGAGGCCCUGGCUGGGGCAAAUGAGGAGGAGGUGGGGCCGGGAACUGAGAAGGUGCAGGAGGAGGCUGCCUGCAUUGACGAGGCAGAGGAGGAGGCAGGCCCAUCCCUUGAAAAUGACGAGGAGUCCCCAGCCAGCGACCUGGUUGAGCAGGAAGACCAGCUUGCCCCCAAGGUAAGCUCACCUUUCUUGAUCGGAGAUUUAAAAAGGUGCCUCCUUUCUUCUUGGAUGUGCCUACUUCAGAAAAGGAAAUCUGAGCAAGUCCAUUAUAGAGGAUAUAUGCACAUUCCUCUGUGGAGGAAUGUUGAGUCAAAGUUUGGUACCAACCAAUAACUCCUUCCAAGGGGCAUUGGCAAAAGGGACCACAUCAGUUCCCAAGUGUACAUAGGGAGCAUUUGUCUUUGAAGAAGCCUGAAUGUUUUGUUUUGUUGUCUUUUUGCCUUUUCUAGGGCCACUCCUGUGGCAUAUGGAGGUUCCCAGGCUCAGGGUCAAACCAGAGCUGUAGCCACCGGCCUGCGCCAGAGCCACAGCAACGCGGGAUCCGAGCAACGUCUGCAACCUACACCUCAGC
rnacentral:lncRNA from 1 species